UUAACUGAGACCAAAAUAGAGGUGUAUUACUGUUAAUAAUAAAAAUGAAUUUUCUUCCAGUUAAG
rnacentral:tRNA from 1 species